rnacentral:rRNA from 1 species
AUUGAACGCUGGCGGCAGGCAUAACACAUGCAAGUCGAGCGAGCGGCGGACGGGUGAGUAAUGUCUGGGAAACUGCCUGAUGGAUGGGGAUAACUACUGGAAACGGUAGCUAAUACAGCAUACCAUCAGAUGUGCCCAGAUGGGAUUAGCUAGUAGGUGGGGUAAUGGCUCACCUGGGCGACGAUCCCUAACUGGUCGGAGAGGAUGACCAGCCACCCUGGAAGUGAGACACGGUCCAGACUCCUACGGGAGGCAGCAGUGGGGAAUAGUGCACAAUGGGCGCAAGCCUGAUGCAGCGAUGCCGCGUGUGAGAAGGAGGCCUUCGGGGUGUAAAGCACGUUCAGCGAGGAGGCGUUACUCGCAGAAGAAGCACCGGCUAACUCCGUGCCAGCAGCCGCGGUAAUUC